rnacentral:tRNA from 1 species
GCGCCAGUAGCUCAGCGGAUAGAGCGUUUGCCUCCGGAGCAAAAGGUCACAGGUUCGAUCCCCGUCUGGCGUA